rnacentral:rRNA from 1 species
UUUUAUUUGAGAGUUUGAUCCUGGCUCAGGAUGAACGCUGGCGGCGUGCCUAACACAUGCAAGUUGAGCGAUUUACUUCGGUAAAGAGCGGCGGACGGGUGAGUAACGCGUGGGUAACCUACCCUGUACACACGGAUAACAUACCGAAAGGUAUGCUAAUACGGGAUAAUAUAUUUGAGAGGCAUCUCUUGAAUAACAAAGGUGAGCCAGUACAGGAUGGACCCGCGUCUGAUUAGCUAGUUGGUAAGGUAACGGCUUACCAAGGCGACGAUCAGUAGCCGACCUGAGAGGGUGAUCGGCCACAUUGGAACUGAGACACGGUCCAAACUCCGACGGGAGGCAGCAGUGGGGAAUAUUGCACAAUGGGCGAAAGCCUGAUGCAGCAACGCCGCGUGAGUGAUGAAGGCCUUCGGGUCGUAAAACUCUGUCCUCAAGGAAGAUAAUGACGGUACUUGAGGA